GUGCUCACUUCGGCAGCACAUAAUACUAAAACUGGAAUGAUACAGAGAUUAGCAAGGCCCCUGUGCAAGGAUGACAUAUGCAAAUUCAUGAAGCAUUCCAUAUUAAA
ensembl:snRNA U6 U6 spliceosomal RNA